rfam:Sordaria macrospora k-hell, WGS project CABT02000000 data, contig: 2.57
GUGCGGUUGGCGCAGUGGUCAGCGCGUUCACCUCUAAAGCGGGCAAGGCAGUUCCAGACCUCAGAAGGUGAGAGGGGACCGGCUCCCUCUCAUUGAUCUAGGAACCCUGUGGUGGCUGCGAAAGGACCUGGGUUCGACUCCCAGACCACACA